AAGGAGAAGCUUAUAUUGCAGACUGUUUUAGAAGCCACCUCUGGUCAUUUCAACAUUCCUGAUGUAUUUAAAAAAAUGAGAAGAACAACCAUUCUACAUGUCAAUCUCCUAAUCAGAAAUAACUAUCAAUAUGUCAAAUCCAGAUUGAGGAUUCUAAUAAUUUGUCAAUUGACACAUCUGAGUACCUGAAGCUGUACAGAGUGAACCCAUGAGGCUCAAGUGUUACUAGGUUUGUCAAGCGCUGUGAGAGUCCCUUCAUGUUUGUGUUUUGCAAACACAAUAUAUUGUUUUCUUCAGGUGCAAACUAAAAGGAGGCGAUGCAAUAUAGGCCAACCAAAAUGAAGGGCGUCGCGUAACUGUAUACAAUCUAAUUAGUGAACAUACCCAUGAAAGUACUAUACGGAAAUUGCAAAAGUAUAUAUGUACCAUGUUGUUUGUU